GCAACAACUCAUAAAUUGAUAAAACUAGAUAAACCAAUCUCUCCGUAGUUCAAAUUACCACAACACUUUCCUUGAUCAUUAAUAGUAACCAGCUCCCACAUAACUUAUUCACACACUAACAAUGGUAGGCUCCUCCUGCAGGAUCUCCUUCUUCACCUCAAAGGGCUCCUUGAGAAGCUCGGAAAUGCGGAAGGCCAAGCUCCUCCUUGCUGUUGGGGAGACGCCGUGUUCUCCGAUGAUCGACCCCAGUACUGCCUCUGAGAGAGCUUUAUUCUCGAUCACUGCAGUCCCGGAUUCAGGUAUCGAACCAUCCUUCGAGAAUGCAAUUGUUAGGGAACCGGAAGGGGACUGGGUGAAGAGGAUGGAUGCACCAUGAGUGAAGAUCUCUGCCUUGAAGACCUCUUUGAAGCGCUCCGCAGCAACCCCUUCAGCUUCUGUGUAGACACCGUUGGCCUUCCACAAUGCAAUGCAGUUCUCCAUCACCUUCUCGGAGUAUUGUUGCCCAGUCAGUUGGAGGACCAUGGUCACCCUUGUAAAUUUCUCAAAGGGGCCGGUAAUCACAUCGUUGACGAAAUCCAGAGAACCAGCGAGCUCAUCGCCGGACUUUCCCUUCCACUUGCCGGCGAGAGAUUCCACCGCCGAUUCCUCGAGGUACACGCCGAUUGCAGUGAAGGCGAUGAACUUCCCUCCAAUAUCCAUCCCUCUCUCACCGGCGCCUCCCAGGAAGAGAGUCUUGGAGGACCCCGGUGGCCGGACGACCGGCGGGAAGACGAAUCCGGCGACCUCGAGCUUCGGAGCUGCAGCUGCCAUUCUUUCUGAAUCGAAG
rnacentral:misc_RNA from 1 species